UACAGAGGUGCCAAGCGUUAGGCGGAAUCACUGGGCUUAAAGCGCGUGUAGGUGGACGGGUAAGUGUCUUGUGAAAUCCCACGGCUCAACCGUGGAACUGCUGGGCAUACUGCGGGUCUUGGGCCAACUAGGGGCAGCCGGAACAAGCGGUGGAGCGGUGAAAUGCGUAGAUAUCGCUUGGAACGCCGAAGGUGAAAACAGGCUGCUGGGGUUGCGCCGACGCUGAGACACGAAAGCCAGGGGAGCAAACGGG
rnacentral:rRNA from 1 species